GAAGCUGAGUCAAGUUAGUUUUGUAAGAAUCAAGACCUUCAUGUUCCGAGUGUGCUCUGACUCAGUGUCUGGGACAAGUAGCCCUGCCCAGCAGAAUGCUGGAAGAUGCCAAUCAUCCCUCAGCCACAACUGAUAGCUGCCCAGUGUCAGUCCCU
rnacentral:lncRNA from 1 species